UCACUUCAACAGCGCAUGUACUAAAACGAAAUGAUACAGACAAGAUGGGAAUUGUCGCUGCACAAGAGUGACACGCAAAUUAGAGAAGCGUCCCAUGUUUGG
ensembl:snRNA U6 U6 spliceosomal RNA